UGGGGAAUAUUGGGCAAUGGGCGCAAGCCUGACCCAGCCACGCCGCGUGAGUGAUGAAGGCCCUCGGGUCGUAAAGCUCUGUUGAGAGGGACGAACGAGCUGUAGGAAACACCUGCAGAAAUGACGGUACCUCUUUAGCAAGCACCGGCUAACCAUGUGCCAGCAGCCGCGGUAAUACAUGGGGUGCAAACGUUGCUCGGAAUUAUUGGGCGUAAAGCGCGCGUAGGCGGUGUCGCAAGUCGAAUGUGAAAGCCCUUGGCUCAACCAAGGAAGUGCAUCCGAAACUGUGACGCUAGAGUACGAAAGAGGGCUGCGGAAUUCCCGGUGUAGAGGUGAAAUUCGUAGAUAUCGGGAGGAACACCAGUGGCGAAGGCGGCGGUCUGGUUCGAUACUGACGCUGAGGCGCGAAAGCGUGGGGAGCAAACAGGAUUAGAUACCCCCGUAGUCC
rnacentral:rRNA from 1 species